AUACGGAGGGUCCGAGCGUUAUCCGGAAUCAUUGGGUUUAAAGGGUCCGUAGGCGGGAAUCUAAGUCAGUGGUGAAAUCUUGUAGCUUAACUGUAAAAUUGCCAUUGAUACUGGAUUUCUUGAAUUAGUGUGAAGUGGUUAGAAUGUGUAGUGUAGCGGUGAAAUGCAUAGAUAUUACACAGAAUACCAAUUGCGAAGGCAGAUCACUAACACUAUAUUGACGCUAAGGGACGAAAGCGUGGGGAGCGAACAGGAUUAGAAACCCCGGUAGUCC
rnacentral:rRNA from 1 species